rnacentral:lncRNA from 10 species
GGUUCAUUCCCCUGGGCCCACUGCCCCACUUCUGCUGCUGAAAACAGGCUGGGCAAACCCCAGGAGAUCCAAGUUAGGGGGGGUUCAGAAAGAAGAAUCUUCUUCUAGUUAAAUAUUCCCAGACCCCACCCUGAAGGCUUGCAGUCAGGCAACUAGUGGACUUGGGAGUGUGGGGGUAGUGAGAAGGGUCCUCUCAGACCCCACCCCACCUCGUCUCCAGGGUGGGGUCCAUAGUCGCUGUAUCUCAUUUAAC